UAGGUUAGAGGUUGAAAAGUAUUAAGUUACGCUGUCUCAACACGCUAUACUCGAAAGAGAAGUAAAAAGAAAUGUGGGGUUUGGCAGUCCCACCUAAACUA
ncrna:unclassified sequences skipping-rope RNA